rnacentral:rRNA from 1 species
AAUCAACGCUGGCGGCGUGCCUCAGACAUGCAAGUCGAACGAUUAAAGCUCUCUUCGGAGAGUGUAUAGAGUGGCGCACGGGUGAGUAACACGUAAGUAAUCUACCUUCGAGUGGGGAAUAACGUCCGGAAACGGACGCUAAUACCGCAUAAUGCAGCGGCAUCGCAAGAUGACAGUUGUUAAAGAUUUAUCGCUUGAAGAGGAGCUUGCGGCAGAUUAGCUAGUUGGUAAGGUAACGGCUUACCAAGGCUACGAUCUGUAUCCGGUCUAAGAGGACGGUCGGACACACUGACACUGAAUAACGGGUCAGACUCCUACGGGAGGCAGCAGUCGGGAAUUUUGGGCAAUGGGCGAAAGCCUGACCCAGCAACGCCGCGUGAAGGAUGAAGUAUUUCGGUAUGUAAACUUCGAAAGAAUAGGAAGAAUUAAUGACGGUACUAUUUAUAAGGUCCGGCUAACUACGUGCCAGCCGCCGCCGU